UCCGAUUGCGCUUCGUCUCUCGUCGACACCGGUGAACUGGGAGCCGGGGAUCAGGUUCGGACGUCUCCCUCCUCCAGAGUCCCGACAACAGAUGCUACCUACUGUCUGUCCCUAGACAUCUGUUGCUAUGGUUUGUCUGCAGAUUUAUAAAAAGUAUUUAUCUAUUACUACUAAUUAUAUAACAUAAAUUUUAAUAUAAAUUUAAUCUAAGUAUGUUUAGCUUCUGAGCCAGUGAGGCGAGAGCAAAAGUUAAAAAGGGAGGGACCUACGGUGUAUAUGACAAAAUUUACCGGGGAUGCGGAGGAGCUGUCUGCGCUCAACCGCUGUCAAGCGCGGGUCCCGACAUACUCUCCAUUUUUUGAUCGUGCAUGUAGCAGUACAUCCUUGUACUUGCUUAGAUCAAACCCCAUUUGCGGUCCUUUUGAUAUGUUGUUAAGUACUACACAUAAGCACGACGUGCGCGAAGUGUCGCUUGACGCUUGGUGUCAUGCCGCUCAAGUGCUCGCUGAAUUGCCUCGACGGGGAGCCAUACUUUAAAGGGCGUUUUUCUCCGGUCGAGCACCAGCAGCAUGUCAUGUCGGUCUCCUCUGAUCCUCUCCUAUCCCACCUCUCUGAUCGAUCAUUGUUUAUCUGUCUCCUUUCGGAACUAAUCAAUGUUUAUCUGUACUGUCCACUCCCGCCUUGUUCGGACAGUACAUGACGGCGUACCAUAAGCUUGUCCGUAUCGACCGACCGAACUCUCUAUACUUAUAUGAAAUUAGUCUUAAUUCAUUGCUUAGUGCCACUGCCAGUGCUUGUUUAUCUUAUCUCAACCUGUAACCCGUUGAAGUUGGUUGCGCACAUUCAGCGUUUGACUAGCGAAGUCUUUGCGACUUUGAUUCCUUCAACCUUUUGUACUCUUUUAGCUAAAAAUUGACAUAAACUUUUAUAUAACCCUAAUUUCCAAACUUUAUAAAAACCCUCUAUUGGCCUCUGGACCCAAACCCAACUGCUCUGUCGUUACUGGCUACACUUAUUGUCUCCUUACGAAACAUUUGGUGGCGUACAAUGCAAAUUGGCUACUUGCUGUUUACACAAUAAAAAUUUGAUGAGAAGUUGAUACCAACUUUUAUAUUAACUGGGACAUAAGGUUAUGCACCUGGGCCAUACAAGGUGUGAAUGCUGCCUUUUUGUGCUGGAAUCGUGAUACUGACACAAUUUGCUUACGCUGGCAGCUCUUACAAGGUACCGUCGAUGUUUUUUUCCUAGUCAACAUUGAUUCUUUGAAUGUUGAAUGCACAUGCUUGCUCAUGUGUUCGCUUUGAUCCUUCUAGUAUCUAUAUUCUACUCAUUCUAAAGAAAUGACAAUCUACAACCUUAAUAACUUUAUUUGUUGGAACAAUGGUUUGGUGCCCCUUCUUUUGAAGAAAAAUUGUGAUUUUCCCUCAAUUUUCUAACUAUGUGAAUAUUUCCAACCAUGUGACACUUGACAGUAUUGCCUAAGUUUUGUACUUUUACUAUUAAUGCCAAAAAUACUAUAUGACUGAAGCACUCGAUUAGUGCGCUGCUUGUCGUUUAAGCAUUUCAUCAGUACAAAAAUUACUUUAAUAUGUAGGAGGUGUUAGGAAGCAUCCCCAACCAUUUUAAAAGGUCAUAUGUAGAAAUUAGGAGGGGGUGAUCCUCUACUACUUUACUAAAAAGAGAGUUUUACCAGAGACAGAGAGAACUAGGAAAACAAAAAAGGAAACAAAUAAAAUAAAGAAGGUAUAACUUCUAGUGGUUCUCCUACUGCUUAAUUAAAUAUGUUCUACUUGUUCUAGUGGUUCUCCUAUUUACCAAGUUCACAUCAUAAUUCCCUACAAACUUGAGUUGAACUUAUGGUGGAAGCUUUUGUUCAAUCGGUCACUUCCUGCAUUGGGCGAGAUCUGCUGAAUCUGAAUAUAUAGAAUGUUACUAUAGUAUUAACCUAAAAAUGCUGGUUUAUGUUAUUGAACACAAGACAACAGGGAAGAUCCAUCUAGUAAGGUAAUUGACCUGCAAGCUGGUGUCUGUUGUUCAAUUCAGUUCCAACUUUGGGGAAACAAAAGGUUUAUACUGGCUGAUUAUUCCAAAUGACUUAAACACACUACAAUGGUAGAUAAUCGAUCAAUUAGCAUUAAUCCUUUUGUAACCUUUUAUCUUAAAUAAAAUUCCAGUAGAGGCCUUGCGCCUCUCCUGUUCCCUAUCAAUUAGCAGUGAUCUAAAUAUGACUUCACACGCCAAGAUACUAUACUGUGUUCACAUGGAAAGCUGCUUUCUUUUCUGUCAAUCUGAUAAGAGGCAUGUUCUGUAGGCGCUGUUGUUAAAUGUCCAAUGGCAAAGCGUGCAUUAUUGCUCUUGUACAUCUGAUCAGUUAUCUUUGAAUGUUUUUAUGGAAAGAUAUACAGAUUUCCCAACACAAUGUGGACGGUUGCGUUGAAUGGUAAAUCAUCCAGUAGUGUGUUGCCGCCAUCUGAUGUACAACUGUACAAGUCCUUCAAGAAAGAAUACCAUUGAUGCUUAUUUUGGAAACCGUGUAGUCAUUUACUGAUGCUAACUGAAGAUUGUAGUCUGAAAAACGAAAAAAAGGGGGUUGAAUUGUGUCUAAUACAGUGUUUGCCUGGUAAACAUGACUAGAACAGUGACCAGUCCAUCUUGACUAAUCAAUCUUCCUGAUUUAAGGGGAUUGCUUGUUAGUAUUGGAAAUUUGCUUGAGCAGACUAAUUUAAAACAACCUACGCAAGUCUGAGUUGGCACUGAAUUCUUAUUAUGCAGUUGACACACUUUAAAUUGUUCUUUUGCUGUCACGCAGGAGAACAGAAAUAAUUUCAGAGUCCAUUUCUAUAAGAGAACAAGAAGCAUCGUGAAAUUGGGGCUGAUGCGUCUGAUGAGCAAUGGAUAAUCUGGAAUAUGGUAAGUAUACAGGUGUAUAUGUGCUGACCUAACCUGAUCAACCAGUAUGCGUCUUAAGGUACCGUACGUUUUACCCCUGAGAGCGACCUUACUGUAAGAACUAGUUGAGCAUACUGUGGAUUUUGUCAGUGACAGGGGUUUUCAAAGUUCACUCACAAAGAGUAUUUCGAAGAUCAGUGGUAAAACAAUACGGUCAAAUUCUUGUACUCAGCAAAACUACCCUUUUAUAUAAUGAUCCUCUCUAUCCCACCGC
rnacentral:lncRNA from 1 species